GCAGAGUUUCCAUAAUGGUAUUGGAGCGGAUUGCUAAUCUGUCGGUCAUUUAUUUGGCUUGUGGGUUCGAGUCCCGCACUCUGCG
rnacentral:tRNA from 1 species